rnacentral:rRNA from 1 species
GACGAACGCUGGCGGCGUGCUUUACACAUGCAAGUCGAACGGCAAGGCCCUGCUUUUGUUGGGUGCUCGAGUGGCGAACGGGUGAGUAACACGUGAGUAACCUCCCCUUUACUUUGGGAUAACUUCAGGAAACUGUGGCUAAUGCCUGAUAGGUGCUCCUGCUGCAUGGUGGGGGUUGGAAAGUUUCGGCGGUUGGGGAUGGACUCCCGGCUUAUCAGCUUGUUGGUGGGGUAGUGGCUUACCAAGGCUUUGACGGGUAGCCGGCCUGAGAGGGUGACCGGCCACAUUGGGACUGAGAGACGGCCCAGAGUCCUACGGGAGGCAGCAGGGGGGAAUAUGGCACAAUGGGCGGAAGCGUGAUGCAGCAACGCCGCGUGCGGGAUGACGGCCUUCGGGUUGUAAACCGCUUUCGCCUGUGACGAAGCGUGAGUGACGGUAAUGGGUAAAGAAGCACCGGCUAACUACGUG